UUUCUGUGCCCUUUGCCUCGCUGUGACAUCUUUGGUAUAUUACAACUUAUUGCUCGGUCUUUACGGGCUACACGUUGCCUCAAAGAUCACCAUGAUCGCCUCCGACUCAGCCACAUCGAAGAAUCAAAAUGAGCCUGGAGACGCCACAGCCGGAAUGCGAAAGGUUGGAGAAGUGCUCAUUCAGAUGAUCCUGGCACAGAUUGCCAUGGUGGACCAGGCAAGUUUGCAAGGGCCUUGAUUCACCAUGUGUUCACAGAGAAGAACCUCAUGGGCCACUCACUUCUCGAAAACACCACCAGCAAUAGGCAAAAAGAGGCUCUUGGCCUUAUCAGGGUCAACGCUGUUAUAGGCAAGUACCGUACAUCCUUUUUCCCAUUGCAUUUUUGCAUUCACAUUUUGUACUUGGAAUUACCAGCUUGCUAUUAGCACAAC